GGGCCCAUAGCUCAGUGGUAGAGCGCGUGCUUCGCAUGCACGAUGUCCCGGGUUCAAUCCCCGGUGGGUCCA
rfam:Salpingoeca sp. ATCC 50818 unplaced genomic scaffold supercont1.11, whole genome shotgun sequence.